AUUAUUAUUAUAUUCUAUUUUUGAAUUUAAACAAAAAAAAUGAUUUUCGAUAAUUUCCAUAAACUAAUUUUGAAAACAGAAAAAAAAAUUAAUAAAAAAUUACAUUAAACUGACAUUUUGGAUAAGAGCUAGCAACAACCUCAAUUUGAAUUAAGUCUUAUCUUCGAAAUAUUCUAGAGAAAUUCAACCUAAGCUUUCUAAGUUAUAUAUACACCUAAAUCCUAAAGCUGAUACAAUACCCAUCUCAUUCAAUUUACCAAGUCGUCAUUCCCGACUAGUCUUUUGUCGGUAAGCGAUGGUUUUCUUAAUUUGAAACACUAAUCAUUAAACCUUUUCAUGAUUUCUUGUCUUACCCACUCAAUUUCUUUAAACUUUUGCCUCUUGUUGUAAUUAACGAACUAGAAUUUCAUUAAGAGAAGGCGUUGUUUUCUUCUGCCAAAAAGUAGACAUCAUUGAAAUUUAUUUUAAAGAAGGAAAACUAUGGAGUUUGGUGCGUGGAAAUUGCAGACCAAAAGGAGAAAGAUGUUGUAGAUAAUGGGCUACUAGAUUAAUCAAUACUCUAUACUUCUAAAUUUUUUUCUCACCAACACAGUUGACAUAUAAGAGUUCUUUUUUCUUUUCCCUUGUACUACUACUAACUUCGUAUUAGACUAUUAGCUAUACAAGUCAGACUAAUUUAGUUUUAUCAUCUAUUUAUUUGUAGACGGAGGCUAUUAGGUGAACGUUUCGGAGGUUACUUACCUUGAGAUUUACGCACGAUCAAGACUAUGGCACGAGCGUGUAAAACUACAAGAAAGUCGGUUGCUAGGAAGAGUACAAUUGUAUUACCUGAUUCUCUCUAUAGGAUUCGUAUGAAGUACAACGAAGACAUUCGAUGUUAUGUCUACCAUUUGAAUCUUUACAUUGAACAUUUUCAUUACAAUGUACUUGAUGGCGAAUCCAAUUACCUUACUCUGGAGAGACGAUCUCAAAUUUUUUUAUGCACGCUACUUGAAAGGGAACCCUUUGCUCAACUUAAGAAGAAAUAUGUUGAUUUAUACAUUGACGGUGAACCAAAUAAUAAAUACUAUUAUAAUGGAAAAUGGAUCCUUACUGUGGAAUACCUUGAGAAGGCGAUGAUGGGAGCCAAGCGGGAAUUUGACUAUAACUUGGAUGAUGAUGACGAGGAUGAGCCCCAGGAAAAUGUGAGAGUCAGGGGGAAAAUGAUGGUUGAAAAUUUUUAAGUUGCGUUUAGCUUAUUUAGUUAAAACUUUUAUACUACUUUUACAAAUAAAAUCUAGUUUCUUAUGAUUAGAAACUAUAGUAUAGUUUUGGUUUAUUUGUAACUAGUAGUUUAUUGAACUAAUUAGCACUAGUGUGUUAUUUUAAAGAAGAUUUUCAUUC